UUGAUCUGGGAUUAGCCAGUGAUGUGGCACUCAGUGGGAGAGAAGCAUUAUGAUACAAGUAGAGCCUUGAAAGGUUUGCGCAGUGGAGCUUGCCCUUUAUCUUGCUGUGCUUGGAACCCUGGACCACCAUGUGACUGAACACUAACUUGCCUGCUGGAGAACAAGAAGCCACGCAGAGGAUAACAGUGGUGCCACUGAGCCUCAACACUUUGGCUGUUUUGCUAGGAAGUGGGUCCAUGAACUCCUCACUCUGCCAACUUGGAGGUGGAACUUCUCCACUGGAAAUUUCCCCAGCCAGAGAUGCCAUUUUUGCCUGAAGCCCUGAACCAAACUGCAUUAUUUAUUAACUCUUCCAAAGGAGCUCUCUUCAGACAUUGCUGUAGGAGCUAUGGAGCUUGCCACCUGCCUGCUGCUUUGACUGCUAAGGAGUGAUGGACCUAGCCAUGGUGUUUGGAGCUCUGGGAAGUAUGAGAAAACAAGAUGUUCUUCAGAAGGAACAGUGAAAACCAGGAGGCUUAGUGACUUGUUCAGGGUGUAAAUAAAACAAAGGGGUCUCUCCACCA